rnacentral:rRNA from 1 species
UCGGGAAUAUUGCGCAAUGGAGGAAACUCUGACGCAGUGACGCCGCGUGCAGGAAGAAGGUUUUCGGAUUGUAAACUGCUUUAGACAGGGAAGAAACAAGACAGUACCUGUAAAAUAAGCUCCGGCUAACUACGUGCCAGCAGCCGCGGUAAUACGUAGGGAGCAAGCGUUAUCCGGAUUUAUUGGGUGUAAAGGGUGCGUAGACGGGAAGACAAGUUGGUUGUGAAAUCCCUCGGCUUAACCGAGGAACUGCAACCAAAACUAUCUUUCUUGAGUGUUGGAGAGGAAAGUGGAAUUCCUAGUGUAGCGGUGAAAUGCGUAGAUAUUAGGAGGAACACCAGUGGCGAAGGCGACUUUCUGGACAAUAACUGACGUUGAUGCACGAAAGUGUGGGGAGCAAACAGGAUUAGAUACC